rnacentral:rRNA from 1 species
AACGAACGCUGGCGGCAGGCUUAACACAUGCAAGUCGAGCGCCCCGCAAGGGGAGCGGCAGACGGGUGAGUAACACGUGGGAAUCUACCCAUCCCUACGGAACAACUCCGGGAAACUGGAGCUAAUACCGUAUACGCCCUUCGGGAGAAAGAUUUAUCGGGGAUGGAUGAGCCCGCGUUGGAUUAGCUAGUUGGUGGGGUAAAGGCCUACCAAGGCGACGAUCCAUAGCUGGUCUGAGAGGAUGAUCAGCCACAUUGGGACUGAGACACGGCCCAAACUCCUACGGGAGGCAGCAGUGGGGAAUAUUGGACAAUGGGCGCAAGCCUGAUCCAGCCAUGCCGCGUGAAUGAUGAAGGCCUUAGGGUUGUAAAGUUCUUUCACCGAUGAAGAUAAUGACGGUAGUCGGAGAAGAAGCCCCGGCUAACUUCGUGCCAGCAGCCGCCGUAA